GAUGAACGCUAGCGGCAGGCUUAAUACAUGCAAGUCGAGGGACAGCACAGGUAGCAAUACUGGGUGGUAACCGGCAAACGGGUGCGGAACACGUACACAACCUUCCUUUAAGUGGGGGAUAGCCCAGAGAAAUUUGGAUUAAUACCCCGUAAUAUAGUUGAAUGGCAUCAUUUGAUUAUUAUAGCUACGGCGCUUAAUGAUGGGUGUGCGGCUGAUUAGAUAGUUGGCGGGGUAACGGCCCACCAAGUCUACGAUCAGUAGCUGAUGUGAGGGCAUGCGCAGCCACACGUGCAAUGAGACACGGGCCCGACUCCGACGGGAGGCAGCAGUAAGGAAUAUUUAUCAAUGGACACAAGUCUCAACCAGCCAUGCCGCGUGAAGGAUUAAGGUCCUCUGGAUUGUAACCUUCUUUUAUGUGGGACGAAAAAGGGCCUUUCUAGGUCAACUGACGGUACCAGAUGAAUAAGCACCGGCUAACUCCGUGCCAGCCGCCGCCGUAAGAC
rnacentral:rRNA from 1 species